UUACGGGAGGCAGCAGUAGGGAAUCUUCCACAAUGGACGAAAGUCUGAUGGAGCAACGCCGCGUGAGUGAAGAAGGUUUUCGGAUCGUAAAACUCUGUUGUUGGAGAAGAAUGUAUCUGAUAGUAACUGAUCAGGUAGUGACGGUAUCCAACCAGAAAGCCACGGCUAACUACGUGCCAGCAGCCGCGGUAAUACGUAGGUGGCAAGCGUUGUCCGGAUUUAUUGGGCGUAAAGCGAGCGCAGGCGGUUUCUUAAGUCUGAUGUGAAAGCCUUCGGCUCAACCGAAGAAGUGCAUCGGAAACUGGGAAACUUGAGUGCAGAAGAGGACAGUGGAACUCCAUGUGUAGCGGUGAAAUGCGUAGAUAUAUGGAAGAACACCAGUGGCGAAGGCGGCUGUCUGGUCUGUAACUGACGCUGAGGCUCGAAAGCAUGGGUAGCAAACAGGAUUAGAUACCCUGGUAGUCCAUGCCGUAAACGAUGAGUGCUAGGUGUUGGAGGGUUUCCGCCCUUCAGUGCCGCAGCUAACGCAUUAAGCACUCCGCCUGGGGAGUACGACCGCAAGGUUGAAACUCAAAGGAAUUGACGGGGGCCCGCACAAGCGGUGGAGCAUGUGGUUUAAUUCGAAGCAACGCGAAGAACCUUACCAGGUCUUGACAUCCUUUGACCACUCUAGAGAUAGAGCUUUCCCUUCGGGGACAAAGUGACAGGUGGUGCAUGGUUGUCGUCAGCUCGUGUCGUGAGAUGUUGGGUUAAGUCCCGCAACGAGCGCAACCCUUAUUACUAGUUGCCAGCAUUUAGUUGGGCACUCUAGUGAGACUGCCGGUGACAAACCGGAGGAAGGUGGGGACGACGUCAAAUCAUCAUGCCCCUUAUGACCUGGGCUACACACGUGCUACAAUGGAUGGUACAACGAGUUGCGAGACCGCGAGGUUUAGCUAAUCUCUUAAAACCAUUCUCAGUUCGGAUUGUAGGCUGCAACUCGCCUACAUGAAGCCGGAAUCGCUAGUAAUCGCGGAUCAGCAUGCCGCGGUGAAUACGUUCCCGGGCCUUGUACACACCGCCCGUCACACCAUGAGAGUUUGUAACACCCAAAGCCGGUGAGGUAACCCUUUCGGGAGCCAGCC
rnacentral:rRNA from 1 species